rnacentral:rRNA from 1 species
AACGUAGGAGACGAACGUUAUCCGGAGUUACUGGGCGUAAAGGACGUGUAGGCGGUUUGUUAAGUCUGGCGUGAAAGCUCUCGGCUAAACCGGGAGAGGUCGUUGGAUACUGGCGAACUAGAGGAUGGUAGAGGCGUGUGGAAUUCCGGGUGUAGUGGUGAAAUGCGUAGAGAUCCGGAGGAACACCAGUGGCGAAGGCGACACGCUGGGCCAUACCUGACGCUAAAGCGCGACAGCAUGGGGAGCAAACGGG